rnacentral:rRNA from 1 species
GCUUGUCUCAAAGAUUAAGCCAUGCAUGUCUAAGUAUAAACGACUUUAUACUGUGAAACUGCGAAUGGCUCAUUAUAUCAGUUAUAGUUUAUUUGAUGGUCCUUGCUACUUGGAUAACCGUAGUAAUUCUAGAGCUAAUACAUGCAUCAAACCCCGACUUCUGGAAGGGGUGUAUUUAUUAGAUGGAAACCAAUGCAGGGCAACCUGGAAUAUGGUGAUUCAUAAUAACUGUGCGGAUCGCGUUUUACGCGAUAAAUCGAUUGAGUUUCUGCCCUAUCAGCUUUGGAUGGUAGGAUAUGGGCCUACCAUGGCAUUAACGGGUAACGGGGAAUUAGGGUUUGAUUCCGGAGAGGGAGCCUUAGAAACGGCUACCACAUCCAAGGAAGGCAGCAGG